rnacentral:rRNA from 1 species
UUUCCUACGGGGGGCAGCAGUGGGGGAUAUUGCACAAUGGGGGAAACCCUGAUGCAGCGACGCCGCGUGGGCGAAGAAGUAUUUCGGUAUGUAAAGCCCUAUCAGCAGGGAAGAAGAAAUGACGGUACCUGAGUAAGAAGCACCGGCUAAAUACGUGCCAGCAGCCGCGGUAAUACGUAGGGGGCAAGCGUUAUCCGGAUUUACUGGGUGUAAAGGGAGCGUAGACGGUCCUGCAAGCCAGAUGUGAAAGCCCGGGGCUCAACCCCGGGACUGCAUUUGGAACUGUAAGGCUAGAGUGUCGGAGG